GUAGGUUAUGGGGACAUGUACCCCAUGACAGUGGGGGGCAAGAUCGUGGGCUCACUGUGUGCCAUCGCUGGGGUCCUCACUAUCGCCCUGCCGGUGCCUGUUAUUGUAUCCAAC
rfam:Pteropus alecto contig105905, whole genome shotgun sequence.